rfam:Nematostella vectensis strain CH2 x CH6 NEMVEscaffold_336_Cont24219, whole genome shotgun sequence.
GCCGUGAUCGUAUAGUGGAUAGAACAUUGCGUUGUGACCGCAAUAACCCAGAUUCAAAUCCUGGUCACGGCA